UCGCGAGGCAGACGUCUCAUUCCGCGUCUCCUCCUCCUCCUUCUUCUUCUUCAGUGUUUGGACUCUCAGAUCGCCUUCUUCCUCAACUCGUCGUGACCUCCUUCAAUUCGUGGAUUGUCGCCGCCUUCCUCUGUGCCAUCUUCUUCAGGUCGUCGUGGAUCCUCGCCGGGCCUUCCCCUGCGCCUUCUUCUUCAGCUCGUCGCUGGUGAUCUCCUUCAAUUCGUGGAUUCUCGUCACUGAAAGGUCAGUUUGAGUGCAUUUGAGUUCUUGUUUUUGGAGCUUGUGCAGUACAAUCAGACAUAGGUUGACAACAUUGUCGAGCUAGAAUGAAGAAAGGGAAUUUCGGCUUCGGCUCUGCCCUACAAGAGGACCCCUCCUAGCUGGUUGAAGAUCUCAACUCAGGAUGUGAGAAUCUCCAACACUAAUCUCUGAACAACGUACUUGGGUUGUGUUUUGAUUUGUUUGAUUGACGAGAAAAUUGAGAUAAAUUUUGAAUAUUUAUCUCAAUUUCUUCAUUGAGGCUUGUGUAAAGGAUUGCUUCACUUAUGUAAUCACGCUGUACGGGUCUUGACAAUCACAGUUGCCAAACAGAGCCCUAGCAGCGUCUCUUUGUCUUCCUGCUAAUCUUCAGUGUGUAUUGAUAGACAGAGGAAUUCGGUUUUGUCUCCUUUCGUUUUCAUCAGUAUGGUGCCUAUUUUAUGAAGUAAUGCAUUGUUUGAAUGCAAUGUGGCCACAUUUUACCUUUCUAUGCACCAAAUGGAACGUCGAGUCUGGUUCUAGCUUCCUUGCGUGAUAUCCUAAUUUGAUGCAAGUUUUGGUGUUACAAGUCUACUGAUGUCUUGUUAUUACAUGCAGAAUCUUUGUUACUUAUUGGAAAUUGGUCCUUUAGUUUGGCU